rnacentral:misc_RNA from 1 species
CUAAACUGUACAAGGAAGACGAAAGCUUGGAGUGUUUAUAUGUAAGUAGUACAGGAUGUACUCAACCUUCAGCUCCACUUGAUGUACACAUCGCACUCACACUGUUGUCUACACAGCCGCCUGAUGUGUGUCGCCAUGGAGACAGCUUUCAAAUGUUUCUUUUUUCUAAUAAUAUUUAGUUUACACAAGCUGGCGUUCUCUUCUUGUAAUUCAACAGAGCGUCGCUACUUCAUCAGCUCCGUGAGGACCUGGGAGAUGAAGAUUUCACAGCUGCUCACUCGGUCCAUCACUGCUAUAUAUCUCGACAUUAUGAAUAAAACUCUACACAGACAGACAGUGCUGCUGAUACCCAUUGAUGUGAUAUACCCAUCCAAGGUCACAAAUCUGACCGUAGACGGUCAAGAAGUAAACAGUACUCAUCUCAUUAACGAGGGUGAAGUCAACGUCUGCUGCUCUUUUAAGAGAGGAAAUCCUCCUGCUGUCUUUAAUCUCUUAAACAUGAAUGGAAUGGAAAUCGCUAAUAAAGAGGACAAAAGUGCAAUGCAAACUAAGAGUGGUGAAGAGCAUCUGAAGGUUUCCCUGUCAGUCAGGUGUCAAGACGACUGGCCGACAGUUCGUUGUGAAGGAAGCGGGUCGGAAAUAAAUAGAUCGGUGUCCUUUCUUGUGAGAUGUGCUCCUCAGUUUGUUGACGGUCCUGUCACACUUGUAUCUUUACAAUUGGAGAAAGUAACAUUUCGUGUAAAAGCACACACAACAAUAUUCAAUAAAUGUUCCUUGACACCGACCCCAUCACAGGAUACAUUCAUACCGAAGGUGAAAUGCAACCUGAGUGGAGAGCCUCCUAAUCUGGUGUUGAAGCUUCAUCCGGAAGAAAACAUUUACCAAGGAAUCUGGAAAAUAACUCUUGGCAAUGAAAUAGGUUAUGACAUUACAACAGUGAACAUCACUGAAUAUUCUAUGUCUGAGACAACAGCCCCAAGUGUAGAGUCAGUGUCUGAGACAACAACCCAGUGUGUAGAGUCAGUCGGUGUACUAGCAAUCGGCCUCUCGUGUGGUGGGAUCUUGCUUGUCGCUGUUAUCUUCAAUGUCGUCGUUUGUAUUAAAAUAAGGACCAGAGAACAUACAAACGACAGUGACACUCCUGUUGCUGAAGCCACAAACUGCAGCCAUAGCCGCAGUGUCCAUGAAAAAGGAUUUACACAAGAAUAUCUAAUCCUCAGCAAGUGAUCCAGCUGUGGAAGCUGUUCUGACCAAAGUAAUCAUAGGGACAGAAUCCCCAAAUAUAAACGUGGACAGGACUGUAGUGUUUGGUUAUUUGGAAUGGAAUUAUGUGUGCAGUUUCUAACCCUUCAUCUAUGGGCUGAGUUUGAUGAACGUUCAGUGAUAAUCUUCCAUGAACAUGGUCAAGCAAAGGACUUAAACAAACCUGCAAUCAGCAUACACUGUCGAAAGAUGCCACCUAUCGUGUCGUGAUAAUCAUAUGUGAGAAGAGUUUUGUAAGUGAUAAUAAUUCAUUUCUCUGUAAAAGAGAAUAAGUAUUAAACAAGGUGGAGACAAUCAAAUAUUUUCAGAGUUAAUAUUAAACAGAAACAGAUUAGAAGUAACAUAUACUUUUAUAGAAUAAUGUUAUUUAAUGUAGGCUAUUUGUGGGUGAAUGUGUUGCACUGAGAAGACACUAGACACAAAAAUAAGUUCCUGAAAGAAAACUGCACGUGCAAGCACACACACACACACGUGUAUAUACACACAUGCCCACACAUUUAUCGCCACUCUACAAGCUAGGUCAUCAUGCUUAGUCACAUGUCUUAGGAACAUCAGUUCUGCUCCCAACUAUAGAUCCCAAUUAUUGCUGUUCAAUGUAAGCCUCAAAUUAUCAUUCCUUUAUCCUGUCAGAAGGUGAUAUUCUUGUUACUGUGUCUAAUAUAUCAGCCAGGGCUACGCAAAGUAUCAUACUGUAUUUUCAUCAUCUAAUAAUUUUUUCCCCACUUAUGUCUGAAAUUGCCUUGUCAAACUCACCUUUAAAUGUCAUUUGACAACCAUUGGGUGUCUCUGUAUCUUUACUAUUUUUAUGUAAUAUCUAAAGGUGUAGGUUAUACAUGCAAUUACUAUUUUUCAUUGAAUAAAUUUAGCUGACCUCUUGGCACUUUGUACACCAUGAUUCCUCUGCUGUGACGAAUAUAUAGCCCUCAAGAUUAGAGAUGUUUUGUUGAGGUGCUAUGAUUCCACAUACCCAAGUCUGCUUUAUUUUAAGUAUAAAUUGUUUUCUUCAUGAAUUGGAUCUUUUUAUUAGAACAAAAUUUUGAUGGUUAGAGGUUCUGAACUAUGAAACCUGCUUAAGAUCUUGUUGAAUAAUUUCUGUCAUAAUUAUACAAAUAAAAUUGUAAAUUGUUAAAA